rnacentral:misc_RNA from 1 species
GAAAAAAUACAAUUUAGCAGAGAUAUAGUUAAGAGCAGAACUUUUGACAUACUCUCAUUAAUUCAAAUACACAAGAUAUAUUGGUAAAAUAAUUAAAGCAUCUAGCUCUUGAUCUAGAAAAGUAAAAAGGAAGAACCAUGAGGUAAUACUAAGGUUGCUCUAUCAUGGCCUAGAGGCCAUGAGUUCAAAUCACAGGAACACAGGGAACCUUUCUUAUAUAACUAAGCUAUAUACUACAGAGCAUUGAGGAAGAAAAGUAGGAUCUAAGACAUGCAUAACCAUUAGAAGAAAAGGAGACUUCUGAGUACAGCAGGAAAGUUGUGCUUGGUCCAGGCACAAGACAUGAAAGUCAAAACUUGAAACAUCUCAGGGGGAUAUAAUGUGCAAUACGAUCACUAUAGCUCCAAUCCAAUGUGAGAUUUUACCAAUAGUAUUCAAAAUUAUCACCGUGAAAAACAACCUAUUUCACUUCCCCACCCAAACUAUUUUUCAGGAAUUAUUCUACUAGCAAAUGUCAUCAUAAAAGUCUCUCACCUUCUACA